UACGUAGGGUGCGAGCGUUUAAUCGGAAUUACUGGGCGUAAAGCGUGCGCAGGCGGUCUGUUAAGACAGAUGUGAAAUCCCCGGGCUUAACCUGGGAACUGCGUUUGAAACUACAAGGCUAGAGUGUGGCAGAGGGGGGUGGAAUUCCGACGUGUAGCAGUGAAAUGCGUAGAGAUGUGGAGGAACACCGAUGGCGAAGGCAGCCCCCUGGGUUAACACUGACGCUCAGGCACGAAAGCGUGGGGAGCAAACAGG
rnacentral:rRNA from 1 species